AGGCCCAUAGAAUGAUAAUGGGCCGAGAUGGGCUUCGUGAUCCGAUGGAGGUCCAGGCCGCUUCCAAACACUUCGUCUUCUCCUCUUCUCUUCCUUGUGCUCAACUAAUCUGGUUAAGUGCAGAUUUGAGUAGACUAUGAAGAUGUGAUCGAGUGCCCGGUCGAGUGAUGGUGUUGGUGGUGAGUGAUGAUACUCGACCAGGGGGUCGAGUAACGUGGUAGAGUGAGCGGCCGAGUGUGGUCAGGUGGUGUGGCGAAGUGAUAUUCGACCAGCGGGUCGAGUGGCGUCAUCGAGUGGCCUGAGCUGAGGUUACUCGACCUGGGGGUCCAGUAGAUGGGAAGAAUGGCUCCAAAGUCACUCGACCAGGGGGUCGAGUAUGAUGCUGGAUGCACACGACCUAGUGGUCAAGUAUGUCUUCUGGUUCUGGCUCGUUUCUUUCAAUUUGCUCGCAAACAGCUCCAAAUCACUUGAAAACAACUCAGAAAUGCAAUAUGUAUGCAAAGCUAUCCUAAUCAUGCAAAGUAUGCAAGAAUGAUGAGAAAUGAUAUAAAACAGUGAUGAAUGAUACGAAACUGGACUCAAAACGAUGAUGAAUGGACACUGAAAACAUGCAAAUUACAGACAUAUCAACUCCCCUAAACUUAGUCUUUGCUUGCCGUCAAGCAAAUAAGAAGACAUAGUUGAAGGAGAGGUUUGAAGGUGGGGACUCAGAACCAAAGCAUCUGAUAGAGCAAAUAAAAUCAAUGUCCAAGUUGGUAGUUCUAAGAUGCGAUAUGAUUGAAUUUUACUCAAAAACGUUAGCCAUGCCUUGUUAUCAAUCAAUCCGUCUCUUAUACUCGACCUACACAUGCUUUCAAAUCUACCAAUCCCUUUAACAUUCAUUAGUUCUGGAACGUGAAUCAAGCAAUGCAUCAUCAAUGAACUCAUUUGGCUAAGGUGAAGGUCAAGAGACAAAGAUGGUCCUUACAGAAUAAGCUUAGGUAA
rnacentral:sRNA from 1 species